rnacentral:rRNA from 1 species
AUUGAACGCUGGCGGCAGGCCUAACACAUGCAAGUCGAGCGGAUGAAGGGAGCUUGCUCCUGGAUUCAGCGGCGGACGGGUGAGUAAUGCCUAGGAAUCUGCCUGGUAGUGGGGGAUAACGUCCGGAAACGGGCGCUAAUACCGCAUACGUCCUGAGGGGGAAAGUGGGGGAUCUUCGGACCUCACGCUAUCAGAUGAGCCUAGGUCGGAUUAGCUAGUUGGUGGGGUAAAGGCCUACCAAGGCGACGAUCCGUAACUGGUCUGAGAGGAUGAUCAGUCACACUGGAACUGAGACACGGUCCAGACUCCUACGGGAGGCAGCAGUGGGGAAUAUUGGACAAUGGGCGAAAGCCUGAUCCAGACAUGCCGCGUGUGUGAAGAAGGUCUUCGGAUUGUAAAGCACUUUAAGUUGGGAGGAAGGGCAGUAAGUUAAUACCUUGCUGUUUUGACGUUACCAACAGAAUAAGCACCGGCUAACUUCGUG